CAAACUUUCUCUCUCUCUCUCUCUCUCUCUCUCUCUCUCUCUCUCUAUAUAUAUAUAUAAUUGAGCUAGAAUAUUUUUAAAAAUAUCACCCCAUUUUUACUUCUAGGUUUCUAGCCCUUGGAUCUACUCCUUGAUUACUAAUAAUACUUGGAUCAAAUACUAUUCCAUCUACCAUCACCUACCACCACCUACCACCAUCAUCCCAACCUUAUAUUUCUCAAUCCAAGGGUUAAAAACUCAAAAGCACCAACCUCUGGGUGUUUUUGAGAGUAUUCUAACUCAACUCUCUCUCUCUCUCUCUCUCUCUCUCUCUCUAUAUAUAUAUAUAUAUAUAUAGUAUAGAGCUACUAUGCUAUCGGAAGCAUAAAUUAGUUGGUGCUUCCGAUUUUCUCGCCCUUGGAUCAAAAAUUUUACGGUUGGGAUGAUAGUGCACUACAGGAAAAGGCGCUUGUAGAGGCGGAUUUU
rnacentral:lncRNA from 1 species